rnacentral:rRNA from 1 species
UAGGGAAUCUUCCACAAUGGGCGAAAGCCUGAUGGAGCAACGCCGCGUGUGUGAUGAAGGGUUUCGGCUCGUAAAACACUGUUGUAAGGGAAGAAUGACAUUGAGAGUAACUGUUCAAUGUGUGACGGUAUCUUACCAGAAAGGAACGGCUAAAUACGUGCCAG